rnacentral:rRNA from 1 species
AGUGAACGCUGGCGGCAGGCCUAACACAUGCAAGUCGAGCGGCUGCGGGUCCUUCGGGAUGCCGGCGAGCGGCGGACGGGUGAGGAAUACAUCGGAAUCUGCCCUGUCGUGGGGGAUAACCUAGGGAAACUUAGGCUAAUACCGCAUACGACCUACGGGUGAAAGCGGGGGAUCGCAAGACCUCGCGCGACAGGAUGAGCCGAUGUCCGAUUAGCUAGUUGGCGGGGUAAAGGCCCACCAAGGCGACGAUCGGUAGCUGGUCUGAGAGGAUGAUCAGCCACACUGGGACUGAGACACGGCCCAGACUCCUACGGGAGGCAGCAGUGGGGAAUAUUGGACAAUGGGCGCAAGCCUGAUCCAGCCAUGCCGCGUGGGUGAAGAAGGCCUUCGGGUUGUAAAGCCCUUUUGUCCGGGAAGAAAUCGUCUGGGCUAAUACCCCGGGCGGAUGACGGCACCGGAAGAAUAAGCACCGGCUAACUUCGU